GGAUAGGUUUCUUAAUUUAUACAAGAAUUAAAAGGGAAGUUUGGUGAAAAUCCAACACGGUCCCGCCACUGUAUUAGAGGAGUUAGCACUUGUAGAUCACUGAUUGUUUUUCAAUUGGGAAGAUAGUGCCUAAUGAUGAUCCUUGAGUCAGGAGACCUGCCUAUCCUG
rnacentral:ncRNA from 1 species